UUUUUUUUUUUUUUUGUGUUGUUUUUUUGGGGUGGGGUGGGGUGGUGAAAAAGACUCAAAAUUUUGAUACAUAAAUUCAUAUUAUUUUAAAUUUUUGACACUAAAUAUAUUUAUUACCAUAAAAAUUUCAAUAACUUAUUCACAAAUAUGAUUUAAUAUAUUCAUAUUAAAUACAUUUUCUUAUCUUAGUUAACUUAAUUUAUAGUAAAAUAAUGUAUUCUUAACUAACUAUAAUUUAUGAUAAAUGUGAAUAUGAAUUUAAUAUGUAGUUAAUUUUUUUUGUUGCAUAAUACUCAUCUAACAUACAAUCAAUAAUUUGAAUAUGUAAUAUAAAUAUAUUUAUGUUUUGAGUUGUUUUUCAGAACAAGUCUUUAUUCACACGUUGCAGUCCUCCCAAACGUGCUGGCCCAAAUUAGCUAGCUUUUGUUUCAUAAUUUGCUGACAAAGACUUGUUGACUUGUUGAUGUAAAAAAUUGUUUAAUUUAAUUAGAGCCUUCCUUUUUGUUCCUUUUUUUUUUACUUUUUUGGUUCCACGAACGUGCCCAGCGAAAAUUUUACAACAUUUACUUAUUUGUGCAACUGGAGAAGAUGGCAUAAAAGUCCCCCCAGUACUAAAAGACCCACCGAAUCUGGAUUGCUAUAUUUGUGCUAUUAACAUUAUAAUUCCUGAUAUAUAUAUAUAUUUGGGUUGUUGUUUGGGGGGUGUUGAAAAGGACUCAAAAUUUUGAUACAUAAAUUCAUAUUCUUAAAUUUUUGACACUUAAAUAUAUUUAUUACCAUAAAAAAUUCAAUAUGACUUGUUCACAAAUAUGAUUUAAUAUAUUCAUAUUAAAUACAUUUUCUUAUCUUAGUUAAUUUAAUUUAUAGUAAAAUAAUUUAUUAUUGACUAACUAUAAUUUAUGAUAAAUGUGAAUAUGAAUUGAAUACGUAGUUAAUAUUUUUUUUUGUUGCAUAAUACUCAUCUAACAUACAAUCAAUAAUUUGAAUAUGUAACAAAAAUAUUUUUAUCUUUUCGGUUGUUUUCAGAGCGACUCUUCAUUCACACGUUGCAGUCCUCCCAAACCUGCUGGCCCAAAUUUGUUCGCAUUUGUUUCAAAGUUUGCUGACAAAGGGUUAUUGACUUAUUGAUGUAAAAAAUUGUUUAAUUUUACAGCAUUUACUUGUUGUAAGAAGAACUAUUCAGCUGACGGCUAUUACAAAUCAUAAAUAUAAAUUACUCUGAAAGAACUCUGAAAGGUGGUAAGUGGUGGUGAGAUGGGAUGUUAAGCUGAACAAAGAAGAACUAUUCAGCUGACGGCUAUUAGUAUUAAUUCAGCUUUGAGUUUGCUAGUAGCGAAACAUAAAACCCUCCAUCGAGCUGGAACGAGAUUUUCCAUUAUUAGGAGAAAAAUAAAUAAAGACCAAAGGAUUUAUCUAGUUAUUUCUCAUAUUUUAAAGAAUUACUUAAAAAUCGCUUCUCUUUUCAUUAUUUCUAUAACUAUUAGAUUAAUAAUAUAAAUAGUGAUCAAAUAUAGAAAUGAAAAUUAUGAAUGGACUUUAUUAAUUUUUAGGAUUAGAUUAUACUUGAUUGAAUAAUAAAUAAUAUUGUCCUUUGUUUGUUAUAAAUGCCGGACAUGAUUAUAUUAAACUUAAUUAAAUAAAAGUUCAAAUAAUUAUUUAAAUACAGUAGAGUAAUUAUCUUUAUAUUAUACUAUUAAAUGUUGAAUUUGAUAUAUAAUAUUCAAUAUUAUUGUAAAUUAAUAAUUGAAUAAGUUUUAUUUUUAAUACUCAAUAUUGGUUUAAAUAUAUUAUUGAAUGAAAAUUUUUGAAAUUUGAUCUUAUAUUAAAUACUAGUGUAAAUAAAUUGUUGAAUUAAAAUUUUGAUAUUAAUCUCAAAUAAAAUUCGUGUUAAAAUAAGUUAAUGAAUAAAUUUUGAUAUUUACUAUAAAAAUAAAAUUGUGAUUUAAAAAAAAUAGGCAAUUAAUUUGUUAAAUCUAAUUUAUAAUAAAUAUUAUAUUAUAUAAAAAGUGAAAGACAGCUAAAGAGGAUUUUAUUCUAAACUCAUACUAAAAAGAGGGUAAAUAAUCCCAUUCAUUUUGAGUUGAUGUUACGUACGUGUAGGGUAAAGAAGAAAAGGAGAAGAAUAAAAAUCAACGUUGACUGAAGCAGCAUUAACACAAACACAUCUCAAGAAUCCAAACAAACAAAGAAUCACUUUCCUUGUGGAAAAAAAUUUCCAACUCCAUCUUUCUGCAUAUUUGACAAAGAGUUAUUGACAUUAUAGUCCCUGAUUUUGGUUAACAAAGAGUCAAACAUUUCAAAAUUUUGAUAUAUAAAUUUAUAUUAUUUUAAAUUUUUUACAUGUAAAUAUAUAUUUUACCAUCAAAAUGACUUAUUCAUACAUGUGAUUUAAUAUAUUGAUCAUAUUAAUACAUUUCUUAUUUUAGUUAAUUUAAUUUAUAGUAAAAUUAUGUAUUAACUAACUAUAAUUUAUGAUAUAGUUUAAUUUAAUAAAGUUAUGUGUUAAUUUAAUAAAGUUAAAACCACUAUUUACAUAUAGUAGUAUAAUUAUCUUUAAAUUAUACUCCUAAAUGUUGAAUUUGAUAUUUAUAUACAAUCUUAUUGUUAAUUAAUAAUUGAAUAAUUCUUAUGUUUAAUAUUCAAUACCGAUUUAAAUAUAUUAUUGAAUAGAAGUUUUUGAUAUCUGAUCUUUAUAUUAAGUACUAUUGUAAAUAAAUUAUUGAAUUAAAAUUUUGAUAUUAAUCUUAAAUAAAAUACAUGUUAAAAUAGGUUAAUGAGUAAGUUUUGGUAUUUAGUAUAAUACAAAAUUCUAGUUUAAAUAAAUUAGGCAAUUAAUUUUUUAAAUUUAAUAAAUAAUAAAUUCUAAAGUAAAUAAAAAAGGGAAAGAUAGAUAAACACCAUGUUAUCUUAAACUCACAUUGAAAAGAGGAUUAUUAAUUUUGGAUUAAUAUUUGGACUAAAUAGCCAGCGCUGAUAGCUAAACAUGACCCUUUAAGUGAUAUUAACCAUGUAAUGACCCUAAAUAAAUAUAAUGUGAAAAGGGAAAAAUAAAAUGUUAGUUUAAUUUAAGGGGUAAGGUAAUUAUAGAAUCUGUAUGCUACAGACUGCAGCAUCAGCCGUUAGAUGUGGUUGGAUGUGAAGUGAGAAAUCAAACAAUAGAAAAUGAGAUUAUUUAGACUACACGAGGCAACCAGAUUAUUGAACAAGAUUUGAUAAGUAAAUAGUGACGCGGCUUGUAAGUCAACAAAUUGUGACGCGGCUUGUAAUUCUUAGCCGCUCUAUUUGUCAUAUGUAUAAACAAGAAGAAGAAGCUCACGUCUCAAAUAUUGUUUUAUUGAUGCGAGGGUACUUCUUUUGCAUAGACUAAAAAAAGAAGAAGAAAAUAAUAUUCAUUAUAGUCCCUGAUUUUGCCGUAAAAUAAUAAAAGCGAAAAUUUUCAAAAUUUUGAUACAUAAAUUCAUAUUAUUUUAAAUUUUUUAUGCUUAAAUAUCGUCAAAAUGACUUAUUAACACAUAUGAUUUAACAUAAUAAAAUUAAUGCAUUUUAUUAUUAAUUGGUUAAUUUAAUUUAAAGUAAAAAAUUAUGUAUUAUUAACAAACUCUAAUUUAUAACAAAUAUGAAUAUUAAUUUAAUUUUAUGUUCUUAAUAUGUAGUUGAUAUUUUAUUUUUUUCAUAAUACUUAUCUGAUAUAAAAUUAAUAAUUUCAAUAUUUAAUAAAAAUAAUUAAUUUACCAAUAAUAUAUAGAAAAUGUUAACUCUUUAAAAUAGUAUUAGAAGGAGGAAAAAAAAGAUAAUAAUAAGAACUUGCCAGUCCUUGAUUCUUGUUGUUAGAAGCUUGAUAAACAAUAUCCUUAUAAUUAUUCAUGAUGGCCUAUAUUUUUAUUAAGUUUUUUUGUAUAAUGAUAAGUUAAUAAACUACCGACGGGACAAAAGACAAAUGAGACAAUAACUUGGUAUAUAUGUUUUCUAUUUUGCAUUUGGUAAAUAAAAUCAGCUUAGCAGCUAUAUACAUGUUGAUAGUGAGAGUCAAGGAAUGCUUAAGAUUUAGAAGUAAAGCCUUUUUGUACUCGCAAUCACGAUUAGCUAGGAAUAAUUUUCCCAUACCUUCUUUAAUAACUUUGGGUCAGUGAUAGAAUUCAAUUGCUAAUUGCUAGAGAUAUGAAACUGAUACUAGUUGACAUGUAAAUAAUUUUAAUAAAUUUAUUUAGUAAAAAUUAAAAAUUAGCUAAUAAGGAUAUAUUUGACAUUUAAUAAGGUGUUUAUGGUAAAAUGUUUAUGGUUUUAAUAAAUAAAUAGCUGUUGGUGUAGAGAGUAUUUUCAUGAAUUCAAAUAAACCCACCCUUUAAUCUAAGUUGAAAAGAUUAAAACAAGUAGGACUAAUGAAUCAAAAUUUAGAAAUCUCUGAUGUUUUUUUAUUUUAAAAUAAAUACGGAUACUGCAGUGUAAUUAACCCAACCCAACUUUUUCAGAUCCUCGGCGCUUGCCAACAUCACAGGGCCAACAUCACAUUGUAUAGAUUUCUCUGUUCAUUUCAACGGAAAAAAACAGUGGGAAAAAAGCAACAUCGGAGUUCAAGAGCUGAAUAGGUUCGUUAGAAAUCAAUAUGAUGCAUCAACAGCAUGUUAAUCCUUCAAGGUAAUUGUCAGCAUGUAAACUUUCAUUGCAGUUUUUUUUUUUUUUUUUAAACUUUGGCUUGUUUAAGCAUGUCUGUUUUCAGUUGUUUUGGCAGAGUAUGAUGAAUAUAUGCGAGGUUUGUAUGCUGGUGCUUGAUCCUUCUGCUGUGCAUUUGUACUUUGGUUUGUUUGUUAAUAUAUAUGAGGGUUGCAUGCCGCUGCUUGCUUCUGCUGCUGUGCAUCUGUACUUUGGUUUGUUUAGUAUCUCUGUUUUUAAGUUGUUUUCCAGAGCUACCCAUGAAUCAUGUUAUUUUAAGCCCAGUAAUAUAUAAGAGGUUUUUUUGGCUCGUUUGCUGUCGCUUUGUUGUUGCUACUGCUGCUGCUGUCGUUUAUGUUGCUGUUGUUGUUCCUGCUCUGUUUCUUCAGAGCAUGAUAUGAAGUAAUAUCAGAUUUGGACACACACCCGGAUGAUUGAUAGAUGAUAAAUGAACACCCUUUAAUCAAGAAAUAACACAAAAAAUUAAUCAAGAUUAAACACAACAAAUGAUCAAUUGCAGAAAACGCACUCAACAGAACACAAAACAAGCUUCUGAUUUUAACAAUCACGGCUCGCCACCAUUGUUCCAGAGGAAAAUCUGCGAGGCAUAAAUAAAUUUUGACGGAUUUGCAGAGUUCACAAUUUUUCAUUCCCCUAGUUUUGAUCCCAGAAAAAUAACCCUUAGCAUAUAACAUCUCCCUUCUCCUCUUUAUUGCUACUUCUGCUAACCUCUCCAUGAAUGUGUAUUGAUUUUUUUGGCAGAAAUGAAAAUUUCUUUUCCACGAUUCCGCACCUAAAAGUUUUUGGAUAUCUGAUUGCAACCAUUGCUGCUGUUCUGGGUGCAAGUGUACAAGGCCUGCCCCAGCCGUUGAAGGAGACUCACAGAGUAUGCUUGUAUGUGUUUCUUGUGGCUAUAAUCGUCCAGUGUAUUGCAUUUGUAGCCCAACGAAAUCAAGCAAAUCAUUCACACUUUUGGGGCCUUAUUGCUGUUAUUUGUGGGUCUCUUUCUACGGUGUCAUUGAUCUCCGCAUUUUUCACUCACUCAGUUGCUGAAAUAAUUUGCUACAUUGCAUUAGGUUGCGCAGCUAUUAUCAUUGUUGUCUAUCAAUAUGGCAGCAUGUUCAUCAAUGCUUGUCGUCGGAUCUACGAUGACAUGUUGGAAUUGUUUCAAGCUAUCAAUAUCUAUUCCACAGAACAACAGCAAAGGCCAGCCGAUGAUAUAAUUGAAGAAGUUUAACAGAGAGAUUCCACUUAUAUUUCAGAUUUCAAUAGGACCAAAAUGUAUACUCUAUAUAUUUGAUCUCAUUAGAAGUUUAUGUUCAUUCCAUAAUAUAGUUUUGAUAAUGUUACACAUUUUUACUUGCGAUCCUCGCGGCCCAAUGCAGAAGAUGAUGUUGUUAAUCAAUUCCAAAUGUUGGUGGAAAAUGGCUUCAUUGUGUCGUCACAACAAAGUUAAUGACAAGCUUUCAUAGAUAGCCUGCCAUAUUUACGAUACUUUAUAUAUAUAUCAAAAUAAAGUUUCUUGUUCAAAUAGAGACUUGAUAUCAGCUGCAAGGACAGAGCAAUAGAUUUCUUGGUCCACAAGAAACCAAAAUCUCACUACUAAACAUAACAGAUACUACUUGCUUCAGCUCAUUCAUCUUGUAUGUUUCUUUUGAAUCAUAAAUGUGUGAAAAGCAUUGAGAUAAAGGACGCCAAUGCGGUCAAGGAAAAGAAAGAACUCAAGAACAUUUGUCUUGGGAGUACUGCCACACCCAUUUGGACACUUGAGUUUCAAUAUGUGCGCUUUUGUUCUUCUUCUUAUAACAAGAGGCUUCAAAAGAAGAUUGUGAAAUUUUGGAAUAUACCUGAAGCAUGCUCCAAACAAUUAUGGAAUUAAAUUUUUUGUUCAAACCUUUGGAGCACUCAACCAACAACUACUUCAAAAUUUAGCUAGCUAGCCUGCUAGGUGUAGAGGAAUUAAAAUUUUCCAAGCAUGAUUCCAAAUUCCUUUUACUGUUAUAUAUUGUUUAUUUACGUGCAUAUCUCUCUUAUAUAUAGUUCCAAAUUCCUUUUACUCUUAUAUAUUGUUAAAGUAGUUAAUUUGUAUCUUAUAUUAAGGGUUUGUUUUUAAGCCACAUUUGAUUUGAUACAUUGAUUUAGGGAAGAUAAUUAAUCAAAAUCCCCUAUUAUUUCAGUAAAUUAAUAAUUUAUAUCUUCAUAAGUAUUUAACACAUGAGUAUUUUGAUGAGUUGUGACGAGAAUGAAUUAAUUUUGAGAAAAAAUGUUAUUCAUUUCCCCACCGAUUUAUUAGCAAAUAUUUGAAAAGAUAAUGUAUUCAUUUUUCAUGAUUUAUCACAUAUGUACAAAGUAAAAAUAAAAAUAAACCACUUCAAAAUAGAAAACAAUCAAAAUAAAAUUACCAUUUGGCUGAGGAGUAUAUGAUAGUUGUGUUUUUUUUUUUUUUCCCUCACACUAACAACGAUUAAUUAAAUUGUAUUUUAAUGAAUAAGAAACACUAUUUCACCUCACUUUUUCACCCAAUUCUUGCUAUGUAGAAGUUUCAAAGCUAUAAAAUUGACUUAUUGAAACAAGAAUGAUGCAACUCAAGUUUGGCUAUUCCAAGUUUUGUAAGUGUUAUAGCAAUCGUGAUACGACCGACUCGAUCUCACGUACACCAACUGAAGAGCAAUUGAAUGUUGAACAAGAAACAGAAGCAAAAUCAAACAAGAAACAAAAUCAGAUCAAAAGAACACAAAAGAAACGAGGAUAACAUUUGAUACAGAAACAUCGUAAUUUUCUCUCUUUAUCGAAAACAAUAUCACGCUACAAUCUUUCUAUGAAAUCGUACACUUAUCCUCAAAAACCCUGCGAAUCUCAAGUUAUGAGCUAGCAAAUAUGGCCUAACAACCAGCCUUGUAAACCCAGAAAGUCAACGCGAGUCAACAUCCAUAAGGCUUAAAUUUGUUUGCCACGUCAUACCCCCUCUAAUACCCUUUUCCCACCUAAAACACUAAAACCAAAGCCCGAUCAGUGUCGGACUUACAUACCCGGCGGCUUUGUAAAGAUUGCAUCUACACCCCUAAAUAACAGAGAGCUCGAAUCACCCUUAUAUCAGUAAGAAAGUUGAACUCCUUUGCUACUGAUAAUCUCCAUCUCCAUGAAAACCACUGCAAUUACUCAUCUGUGAAGAUAUUUGAUUUCAAUAUCUUAACAGUUCUUGAAUGUUUUCACAGCCCCAUCCCCAUGCCUGUAUCGGCAAACAGAGUGCCAUGUUUUUCAGAAGCGAUGAGGUCAAAACGAUUGUUAAAUUAAGAAACAAUUGUUAAAUCUGUAACUUCUAACACCAGAACUGAGGCAGGUGUUUGUUAAAAUGAAUCAACUAUUCGACCACUGCCUCACUGAAAGUCAUAUUUUGAGUCAACGAUAUCGAGCAAAGCUGUGAAUCUUGGAGGUUUUAAUGAGUAAUUUCACCAUCGCCACAAGUACGAGAUAUUGAAGUCAACCCAUAAUCAAACAGUGUCACUAUUGCUAAAAGUUCGAGAUAUUGGGGGCAAAUAUAUACUUAAAUCGUUAGUUAACAGUAAGAUUGUAAGUAAUGUUCAUUGAAUUUAACCUUUUCAUCAAUAUAAAUUACAAAAUAUGACUACAGAAUACGUAAUUCAAUAAUACAAGGAAAUAAACCAGAGUAAGCUGUAACAUGGCUAACGCGCACAUGCCAUAACAAAAUAAUUAUGAUAUCUCGACAACAAAUAAGUUCAAUAACUUGAAUGUCCCUCAUACUCAAGAAACAACGGGAUGUUAAACAUAAUGGUAAGGCACAACUAAACUCUUAAUAGAAACUCAUAGAGUAACCAAUGGGCCUUUGGUCCAAAGGGAGAACCCUUGCACUUACAAUGUUGAGAGCAAGGGUUCGAACCUCAAUAAAAGUAUUAUAGGGGUUAGUUUUCAGUUCUCCCUCAAUUAUCAAAUAAUUGAGUAAAACCAGUCUAUUCCUCACGAAAUGUAAGUGAAAUGGACACCUCUCGAAUAUUAGGGAGGGAUUAAAGAAUAUGGGCCACGCUUUAGAGGAGGACAUGCCACGACGAAGGUCCCAGUUCUAUAAUCUGUUUAUAAAUAUUAAUUGUAAAUAUUAGGGAGGGUUUAAAGAAUAUGGGCCGCGCUUCAGAGGAGUACAUGCCACGACGAAGGUCCUAGUUCUAUAAUCUGUUUGUAAAUAUUAAUUAUAAUAUAUGAUGUAAUAUCAGUAACAGUCCUGUAUAAUAGUAUUAAAAAAAAAAAAAAACUCAGAGUAAGCUUAUGUGCUUUCUGUUGGCCACAAUAUUCUAUUACAUUACACUCGCAGCUGAUAACAAGUUUCAAUAUAAUCAAGCAAAUUCUUCACAGUUUUUGAAAUUGUUGCUAUUUUUAGAAUUUUUUCUGCUAUCUCAUUGGUCCCUACGUUUGUUUCAAACUCAAUUGGCGAUAUCAUUAUAUACAUUGCGUGGAUUUGCGUGGGUACUAUCAUUGUCAUGUACUAAUAUGGCAAAAUACUCAUGGUCACGGACACUUGUCGUUGGCUGUAUCACGAAAUCUUGAAGCCGUUUUCUUAAGCAUCUUAAAUUGAUUUCAACUUUUAGGCCAAUAAUAACAUCUCUUCAACAGAGCAGCCAAGGGUACCCUUGAAGGCUUGAAUACAUAGUUGAGGAUAGUGAAUCAAAGAAGGGCUGCACGAGACUAGAGCCCAAACCUACUGGCCCAAAGCAGUUAUCAUUCGUGGCACAUAUUACGUGAUAAAGGGUUAUAAAAAAAAACAUUUAAGAAAAAGUGAUAAAGCGUUUAUUUCUUUUAUUUAAUGGGAACCACGUGAAUAUAAAAACACCGUAUACUAGUUUUAAAUUUCUCUCUCUUCUCCCAACUCCAUCUUCCCACACCCAAGAAGCCAAAUCGUUGGAUCAUCUUCAUCAUCAACGGCAACGUGGCGGGAGAUGACGUGUCCAACAUGUUACUCUUCUAAUUUUCCUCAGCUGUGGCUUAAAUGCCUCAUUUUGCUCCUCUUUCACGAACUUUCAAGUUUCUUAAGAAUGUCCUGGCCUGUGUUUUUUCUUCUUCAAUUUCCGCUAUUUUUGUUUUUUUUUGGGAGAAAAUCUUCUGUUAGAGAUAUCUUUAAGCUUGAUUAUUUAGAUGAGUCGUUAGGUUUUUUUUUUUUUAAUUGGGUAACUUACCGAAGUGUGUUUUCCUUCAUCUUCUUCGAUUGGAAGGAUAAUUUUGAUGAUGGAAAGAUGGAGAAGCAAAAAUGGUGAUGAUGAUGACUGUAUAUUGAUCUUUGAGAAAGUUAGUUUUGGGGAAAAAAAAAAGGAAAAUGAUUUUUAUUGAAACUAAUAAUUAGAGUUCAAUUAUGCCGAAGAGUGGCAUUAAAUCUUAGGCUUGGAGCAUCAAAUCAGCAUAAUGACUAGGUGCGCUUGAGUACGGAGCCAUAGUUAAGGUCUUUUUUAUAUUACUUUUGGAACAUUUAAAAAUAAUUUUAAAGAGUUCAACGAUAAUUUUGGUGUUCGGUCAAUUUUUUAAAAAAUAAAUUUUGGUAAAAGCAACCUAUCCUUCAUCCAUAAUUAAAUAUUUUCAAACCAAUUAUUCUUCAAUUAAAAUAAUAAAAUGUCUUUAUGAAAUGAUACGGCAUGGAAUUUAUCAGCCGUAAAAUUUAUGCUAUUUAACGUAAGGAGUAUUAAAAAUUUAUUGAGUUUCAAAUAAAACUUUUAGAUAAUUUUUUGUACAAUUUAAUCAUUUUAUGUUAGGUAAAAUAGUUAAAUUGAAAUUUAGUUAAGUAUAAAAAAUUAAUUAGAUAAAUUUUUAAUCAAUGUGAAUUUUCUAUAUUUAUUUUUCAAAAUGAGGGUGGCUUUACACUAAUUGCCAGACAGAAAUAUUCUCAUCCUUUUACAAUAUAUUGUGACUAUCUUAUCUAGUCGCACAUUAGUUAUUUCUACAAUUAAAGGUAGAAUAAUUACAGUGCUACAUACAAUUGCACAAAUAGUGUUCUAUAAAUUGAUAUAGCAAGAAAUAAUUGAUUGUCCCUAUGGGUGCUUGACUUAAUAAUUUUAAAAUAGUUUUAUUUAGCUGUUCAUUCAAAGUUGAAUUUUGGGGGGGGGGGUAUGGAAUUAAAAAUAAAAAAACUUAAUUGACUCUUUAAAAUGAUAAAAAAAAUUAGGCGGUCCUACCAUAUUUUUAACUCAACCAAUGAUCAUAUGCCACCUUAGUUUGGAAUAUAUAAUUUGUGCAAAAGUGUUUGUGACUAUAGUAAACUCAUAGUAACUCUCUCUGGAGGAUGAAGUCGUUUACUCAUUCAUCAUAAAAUAUAAUCAUGUGGAGGACAAAUAAUAAUUUGGCACUUUUCAGCGACAAAAUUGCAAUUAGUCAUCCAAGUUUAUUUUUUGUAACUAAAUAUAUAAUUACAGAGAAAAGUGUUUUAUCUAGUGUAAUUGAGAAUAUGAUAGGAGCUGUUGACAUUUUGCAGGUAUGGAUCUACUUUCUUCUGUAAAAUAUGUACUUGCAAAAAUUUUGAAAAAAAAAAAAAAGGUUUAGCUACAACGUCGAUCGAAAGUGUCUGGAUGCAACAUGAUAUAAGGUCACUUGUUAUUUUGUUUCAAAUUACAAACUUUAUGUUAUGGCACCAAAGGGUAAAAGCUCAUUUAGUCCCUGUAUUUUAAGAUUAGUGUUCAUUUAGUCCCUGUAUUUUUAAAAAUACCUCGAAACAUCCCUGCCGUUAAAGUACUGAUACUCCUACUGUUACUUUUUAUUUCUUUUGGCUUACUUUUACAAUAUUACCCUUUAUAAUAAUUUUUUUGUUUGGACAUUAAUAAAAAGAAAAUAAUUAAAUUAUCAAUUUAACCCUAAAAAAUAAAAAAAUUAUAUUAAUUUUUAAUUGUCAAAAAUUGUAUGCAAACUACAAAGUGUGCAAAUGGGCUUGCAAAAAAAUUAAUAUAUAUAUAUUUUUUAUUUUUUAGGGUUAAAUUGGUAAUUUAAUUAUUUUCUUUUUAUUAAUGUUCAAACAAAAAAAUUAUUAUAAAAGGGUAGUAUUGUAAAAGUAAACCAAAAGAAAUAAAAAGUCACGGUAAGGGUAUCAAUACUUUAACGGCAGGGAUGUUUCGAGGCAUUUUUAAAAAUACAGGGACUAAAUGGACACUAAUCUUAAAAUAUAGGGACUAAAUAAGCUUUUACCCGGCACCAAAUUAUCCAAAUUAAGGCCUAAGGCAAAGCUACAAAAAUAGCAAAAACUUGGGUUCAGCUUAGGCAUGCUUUUUUAUUUGAGACUUUAAGACCGAAUUUUAUGUUUUACAAUUUUUUUUUAAAUUUUUUUUUAUGAUUUACAAUUUAUUGUGUAUAAAUUUUUUAAAAUUGCAUUGUGUUUGAAAAGAUGCGCAAAGGAUUUAAUUUUUUGAAAUCAUUUAAAAUUUUAAAUAUGUGUAGUUAGCGGGCUAAUUAAUUUCAUAGAUGUAUUUUAAUUAAAAAUAAUACAUAUGUUGUUCAUUUUGACUCCUAAAAAUAUAUAUUAUACAUAUACUAUUGGGAGAUUGUCAAUAUCUCCCUACUGAAUUUAAUAUAUAUUAUUGUUUUUGUUGUAUUCAUAAUAACCAAUUACCACCUUGUCAGUAUAAUUUUAUAAUAUUACUCAUACCUUUAAAUGCACUUUAUUUAUAUUUAUUUUACUUAAAUAAAUCAUAUAAAUAGAAAUUAAAAUAAAAAAAUUGGAGUACUAAAAAAUAAGACAUAUAUAUUUUUUCUAGUACUUUUUGUUACGUUCCCUUGCAAUAUGACAAAUCCGAAAAUCUUGCUCUAGUGGAUAGAUGUACAAUUGAGAUAUAUUGGUCCGGUUUAUUGACUUUUCACAGAUACAUUAUAAUUAUCAUGUCCAACAAUGUAACCCAUAUGAAUGGUAAAAUAGUACAUAUAAUCAUUUUUUAAACAAAUUCCCAUGUGUCAAUUAAUUAGUAUUGAUUAGAUAAAAUGAUACUAAGGACUAUUGCUAAUAUAGCGCGAUCUUCUGCCACGCACAGAGCAAUUAAAAUUUUUCAAGGAUGAUACCAAAUUCUUUUUAAUGUUAUUAUUGUUUAUCCUCGUGUAUACAGUUCUCAUAGUUCUUAGCAGGACUAGAUAAUGAUUCCAAUAAUUAGAAGAAGCACUUAUACCAGUCGAAAAUAUCAAGUUUGUAUUAAAUUAGUUAAUUUGCAUCUUACAUUGAAGAUUUUUAUUUUUUAUUUUUUCAUCCGAUUACCACACUUCAUUUGAUUCAUUGAUUUAGGGAAAAUAAUCAAAAGCUUCAAGCUGUUUCAAUAAAUUAAUAAUUUAUGUGUUCAUGUUUUAAAAUCGAUCAAUUUAUCUCUGUCAUUAAAAAAAUUACAUUAAUUUUAAUUUUAAGUUUUUGCUCUAUUUUUUAUUAUUUUACUUUUGAUUCCGUAAAAUCCACAGUUAGUUAAUAAAAUAAUUAGGGCAUAAUAUUAAAGGACAUGAAAAAAUGAAAGUUAACAAAAAAAAUAUUUAUAAUUAUUUUGAUCCUAGGGAUGGCAAUUAUCUAGCUAGAUAUGGAUAUUUUCUGGAGAAAAAGUUGAUGGUUAGGGAGAGGCAAUUGAAGAUCAAAAUGAAAACAAAGAGUUGGAGAAAGGUUCUGAUGAUAACUGGUUUCAACGGUUGACAGUUCAACUGAGCUUCUAGGAAUGUAACCGAGUUUAAAAUAAAAAAUAUACUCAAAAAGAGGUGAGAAAUUAUUUGGAUCCCAGAUUGGGGAAAAAAAAAGAUAAAAAAUAUGAAAAAAAGAAAAUACAGUGAAAGAGAGAGAGAGAAGGGGUAGAAAAUUCAAUCAAUAAUGAGCAAGCACGUGAUGAUGGCCCCACGAUUGUAAGUCGCUGGUCCCCUUUGUUGCUGCAGUUUUUAUCCUGUUGUGUGGAAAACUCUCUUUCUCUACAUGUGAAUCACAAGCAAAAUUCUUGCGCGCGCGCGCGUAAAAUCAAAUAAUAUUAUAUAACGAAAUAACAAGUACACUCGGUUCUUAAAAUUCACAUCAACACAGAUCAUUAAACACCUGGGAUGAAAUUAAGAUUUUAAUUUGAAAGAGACCAUGUCAAUUAACUAAUAUUGGUUAAAUUGCUAUAAUUAAUCUAAAUUUUUCUAAAGCAGCAAGUUACUAUGUACCAGUCAAAGAGUAAAACGCCGUCUAAUUAAAUUAGUAGAGUUAUUUUAGUCUCAAAGCUAUAAUUUAUCUAAAUGUUUCUGAAACUACAAUUUGCAUAUGUACCAAUAAGGGAGUGACACGCAGUCUAAAUUGCCACCUUAGAAAGGAAACGUACACAAUCUAAAAAGACCAAUAAUAUUGCCCAAGACAUCAUAUAAGAUAAGUCUACUGCAUGGGGCCAGGCCAUACUGAAUCAUUGUAUAAUAUAUGUGCAUAUGCUAUCGAUAGUUAUCCUUAUUGAGAAGGCAUGGCAAUAAAGUAAACAUGGAAGCCAUCUCCGCCACCACAACCAUUCCUCUUCUCAUUCUUUACAAAUGGAGGAUUAUGCAGUCUCUGUCUCUCCCACAAUCAGAGGUUUGUUAAUUUACAUAUAUUUGUGCUUUCUAUCAUUUUUUUUGGUUAGGUAUGCAGCUAAUAUAAGUUCACAUAUAUAUAAUUAAAAGAAAAAAAAAACUCCUUUAAGAUUACACACACACACAUAUAUAUUCUUUCUUAGUGUUUAUAAUGCGACUAUAAGUUAAUUAGGAAGCUUCUUUUUCUUCAAAUUAUUUUGGAACAUCAACCAUAUACCUUUAGUACGAAGGAAUAUUAAAUGACUAAAGUAUGUUUCUUUUUUAAAAUUAUCGAUUUACUUUUGAGUUGACUAGCUGUAUACAUUGACUAAAAAUUGUGGAUAGAAAGUUUUGGCCUAGAUAUUUUUUGAGUUGUGUGAAGUCUGUGGCUUGAAAUUAAAAGGCAUUAUUAGCACUGGAAAGUUAAAAAUAUAUUUUUUUUCAUUUUCUUAUUUCAUGUUUACUAUUUAAGGUGAACUAUUUUUAUUUUUUUUGGGAACUUAAUAUAAUUAUAUUUAUUAAAACUAUUUAUUUUUCAAUUAAUUCAUUUUAUAUUUACUUGGUAAAUUAUUAUUCAAUAGUACCACAAUGAAUCACUAUGUAUAAAUUAUUAUUAUCGAUGGCAUUAAAAGGAAAUUAUAAAGGUAUCUCAAAUUCUCCAUGAACAAAGACAGAACCUUAUUGGGACUGGCCGGCUAUAGCACAAACUCUCUGUAAAAGGCUUGUUACAAACUCAUCCAACUAAAUUUAUCAAAAUGAAACUAAUCUUUAGAAAACAAUACAUCAAUCCUAAGAGCCCCUAGCCGUUAAUUAUUUUGAAUAAAAGGAAUAAUUCUAGAAAAACUUGUUUAGUUGGAGAAGGGGUGUGUUCGGGAAGCAUACAUAUAUAAGGGUUAUUUAAGUGCAAUAAAAAUAAUGUGCAUUUUUAAUUGUUUAAUUAGGCUUAUUUAGAAGAGGGGUUUUAACAGAAAAAUAAAAGAGUGCAAAUAGAAGCCCCAUGGGAUCCAUAUUUUAUCUCGGUAUAUACAUAGUUCAUCAGAAGUGGUUCUACUUACACCCCAAGUUUCAAAAUACUCAUAAAUCCAUCUUUCUUAAAGAGAAUCAUCAUGAUUAAAGGUGUUCUCUCUUAUUUUUGUCAGGGCAAAGGAACUAUAUGGCCAGGUGUGUAUUUAUAUAUAUGUGUAUGUGUGUGUGUGUGUGUGUAUUCCUCCCUAAUUUUCUCCCUUCGCUUGGGAGGUUCUUUUUUGAGUGUGAAAGCUCGUUUCAGCUUCCCUGUUUGAUGAUAUCAUGAUUAGCAUUGAUGGUUUCAGACUUUUGAGUUUGGAUUGAGUUUGAUUAAAUGCUCAAUAUUCUUCAUUUACACAAUGAUAGGCUUCCUUCCCUUUUGGUCUUUGAUCAAUUAAUGGAAAAACUGCUUAUUGAUCAAAAGAGAAGAUAGAAGUGUAUUUUACUCAUAUCUUUAGCGAAGGGAACAAUGUUAUUCCGAAAUUUGUUAAUAUGGUGGUCUGGUCCUCUAUCAGAAACGCUUGUCAUUCUAUCUUAAUGAUAUUGAAGAUCUUCCUAAUUAUAUAUUUAAAAAGCUUGAUGAAUGUAUUUGCAUUUUUUGCAUGAAUGCGUUACUCUAGAUUUUGUUUUGAUUUGUUUUUGUUAUUAUGUUAUUCAUCAAGAGAAGAAGGAGGUGUAUUUUACUCAUACCUUUAGAGAAGGGAACAAUGUUAUUAAGAAUUUUGUUAAUAUGGUGGUCUGAGCCUCCAUCAGAGACUCUUGUCAUUCUAUCUUAAUGAUAUUGAAGGUCUUCCUAAUUAUAUAUUUAAAUAGCUUGAUGAAUGUAUUUGCAUUUUUGCAUGAAUGCAUUACACUAGAUUUUGUUUUGUUUUGUUUUUGUUAUUAUGUUAUCUAUCGUUCCAUUUGCGUAAGGCUCAUCAUCUCUGAUAGGUAUCGCUUCUUUCUUUCAUUUCAAUAAGGUUUCUCUCACACCGUUGAGAUUUCCUAAAAGAAAGUCAGCCAUCAAUUAUUUCAUAGCCACAAGCUGUCAUAUACUACUCUCCCACAUUACCAAUAUAAUGGUGAUUUUAAUCGCCAAGCAACCGGAUUGUAGACAGCGACAAAGUUCUUCCCCCCCCCCCCCCGACAAGAAGCUCGGAACCAAUUCCAAAUGUAGGCUGAUAAUGGCUUCAAGGUAUCGUGGUAAAGCUGAAGACAAGAAGCUCGGAACCAAUUCCAAAUGUAGGCUGAUAAUGGCUUCAAGGUAUCGUGGUAAAGCUGAAGACAAGAAGCUCGGAACCAAUUCCAAAUGUAGGCUGAUAAUGGCUUCAAGGUAUCGUGGUAAAGCUGAAGACAAGAAGCUCGGAACCAAUUCCAAAUGUAGGCUGAUAAUGGCUUCAAGGUAUCGUGGUAAAGCUGAAGACAAGAAGCUCGGAACCAAUUCCAAAUGUAGGCUGAUAAUGGCUUCAAGGUAUCGUGGUAAAGCUGAAGACAAGAAGCUCGAAACCAAUUCCAAAUGUAGGCUGACAAUGGCUUCAAGGUAUCUUGGUAAAGCUGAAGACAAGAAGCUUGAAACCAAUUCCACAUGUAGGCGGAAAGCUGAAGACAAGAAGCUCGAAACCAAUUCCACAUGUAGGCGGAAAAUGGCUUCAAGGUUUCAUGGUAAAGCUGAAGACAAGAAGCUCGAAACCAAUCCCACAGGUAGGCGGAAAAUGGCUUCAAGGUAGCGUGGUAAAGCUGAAGACAAGAAGCUCGAAACCAAUUCCAAAUGUUGGUGAAAAUUGGCUUCAAGGUGUCGUGGUAAAGCUGAAGGGAAGCACCGAUAAACAAUCUGCCAUACUGAUGAUACACAACAAUAACAACGGCACAAGGCCAUGAGAUGUAUAAAAUGAUAUGACCACUGGAGCCUUGAAGAAAAGUGGAGACCAGCGAGAUGGCAGAAAGAGAUCCAGAGGUAAUAGCAAUAAUGCCAGAGCGUUUGGUGGAAUUUUCUUGUUGAGCUAGAGACUUGAUAUCAGUUGCGAAGGCGAAGCAGUAUAUUGCUUGGGACACAAGAAAACUCCACAUAUUUAGUGUAUGUGUUUUGAAUAUGGGCUCUGUUGUGCCUUGAUCAUUGGCUCCCAGGAUACCAAUGAGGACUGGAAUCAGGUAUGCAAAAAUGAACUGGUACGGCAUCGAUGAAACGAAACGUCCCUCGCUGCAAAACCAGAAAGAGGUCGAAAUAAAUCAUGCCAUUUGUAUAAUUGAAGUGAUUGCAAAUCAUUAUUUAUAAACUUACAAACGCAAUAGCUGAAACCGUAGAGCUACAAAUUGGUUUGAAGAAUAUUUAUGUCUUCAUAAGGACAAUCGGUUUUAGUGGACCGGGGACCCGAUAUUUCGGUUUCAGGUGUAAUGGGUCAACCGGUGCUGACUAGAUGUCAAACCAAUUACCCGAUAUUUCGUUUUUGGAGCCCACCAAAAUGCUUGACCAGCCUUUCUUGAACCAGGACCAGAAGUGGGCUGAGUUCCUUGGAUAAACCGAUAUUUCAGUUUCAGUAUCGGAUCACGAAACGCGGACAGCUUAAGCGUUGGGAAAGCUAGUUUUGAAGUGAAGGCCGUGGAUAAUCAACUGACAAUGUCUCGAUUAGCAGAGGACUUUUUAAUUUUAAACAUAAAAUAAUAAAUUCAGGCUAUUGAUUUUAAGGAGCCCGGCGCAGCUAUUGGCAUAACAACCGGUACACCAUUGGUUGGCCCAACCCGGUCCUCUCGUACUAGGUUUGGCUUCUCGCAGUUCUCCCUUUAACAAAAACGGUAGAUAGGAACUGAACCCUUGGGACAUUCGUCAACCCCAGGAUGUGAUGAGUCGACAUCGAGGUGACAAAGGACUCCGUCGAUAAGAGCUCUUGGGAGUCAUCAGCCUAUUAUCCCCGGCGUACCUUUGAUCCGUUGAGCGAGAACCCUUCCACACGGGACUCCCGGAUCACUAAAAGAGUGGUUGGUACUCUGCAUCUUACGGGGUCUUACCGUCUAGGCGUGGGCACUCCGCAUCUUCACGGAGAAUUAAAUUUCACCGGGUCCAUGUCGGAGACAGCGGGGCAGUCGUUACACCAUUCGUGCAGGCCGCUACUUAUGCGACAAGGAAUUUCGAUACCUUAGGACAGUUAGAGUUACUGCCGCCGUUUACGGGGGCUUCCAUUCAAACAAGCUAUUUCUUUGCAUGAGGAAAUUAAUGACGGGUCAAGAAUUUAAAAUAAAAAUCUUUAAAGACUUAAAACUAUACCUUAAAGGUGAAGAAGGCGGUCGGUUUUGGUGUUGAAGAUUACUCUGCAUUCUUCUCGGGAUGUGAUGAUGUUGAGCUAGCUGCUGCUGAUGGAGCAAAGAAAAGUGGGACGUGGGUGCAAAGACGAUGAGGAGGGAGCAAUGGGAGAAAGGGUUCUACAUUUAAUGAGUAGCCAAAAUUUUUUUUGAGGUCCAAUACAUUUUGAAAAAUAACUUAUCAGUCUUAAUAAAAUAUCAUAUUCGUCCUUAACACAAUUCUUCAUAAUUUUCAUAAAAAUUAAUAACGAUAUUUUUAGUGCUUCGCUCAUAUAUUUAACCAAAAAAAAUUAUAAUAAUCUCAAUAAAAAAUGUUUAUUGAAAUUUGUUUUUGUUUAAGCGUGGAUUUAAAUUUGUCCUCCUUUUUUACUUACACACACUCAAAACGUUUACUUUUACUUAUUAGUAAUGGCUUAAUGCACAUUCUGUAGAUGUAUGUUUCAAUUAUAAUAAAUUUGGUGAAUAAAAAAUUUACUUGAAUAGCAUAAAAAAUGUGAAACUUGAUUUUUUUUUUUUUUUGGGGAAUGAAACUUAAGUAAUCUUGAAAUUUGAAUCCUACAAGCAAACUUGAAAAACUUGAAAGACAUAAGAGCUUUAAUAGGAAAAAGAACUUGAAAACUUUAGGUUAGUAUUUAUUUUUUAUAAUUUUACUGACAUUUUACUUUCAAUUGAUUGACAAUUACAUGAGCAUUCAGGAGUUGGAGGGAGUAUUAUGGAAAAGUUAUGGACCUAAAGGGUACAUCCAAGGAAAAUAAAAGAUCUAGUGGUCAUUUCCCAAAGAAAGAAAUGAAAUAGACAAGAACUUUCUCAAUCAACAUUCGCGUUUACAUGUAGAGCUCGCAAGAAAAAAAUAAAAGAAUUUCUGGUGAUAAUAAAAUGUUUGCAGAUUGUGUGUGUCCCACAUUUGAAAAUGACAAUUUUUUUUAUAUAAUAAAUGUUAAGUAAAUAAAGGCACCAGGUCGGCCAUGCUACCAUUUUCACCCCGGCAUGAACCACCUCAGCCAAAUGAUACGAGCAGAACACGGAGACGAACAUGGUCCGACCAGAGACGAGUGCCAACCAGAGUUAUAGGCCGAGCUGAUAAUCAUUCCCCCCAAAAAGCGGAAACACGAUCUCACAGAAUCACGGCAGUUGCACUUUCCCAGAACUGUUGCGAGAAACGCGAGAUCCCACGUUUGCCCAUAGUGCAGCAGUUAGAGCCUCAUGAGGGGCUCCCACUACCCGAAAAAGUGGGGAUGAAGGGCAAGCGGGAACGUGGGGGCAGCGGCUAUAAAAGAAGAAGAAAUCAACGAAGGAAGGGGAUAGAAAAAAAUUGAGAGAGGGAAAACGCUGCCAAAUUUCAACCAGGCCAUUUUCUUACAAAUCUCGAACAAACUUCUUGAAUCCAAAUUACAUUGUUUUCCCGUGAACACCUUGUGCUAACUUAAGCAUCGGAGGGUUUACGCCGGCAAAACCACCGGCGUCUCUGAUCUGUUAUUGUUGAACGCAGGUCUAGUGAGAGAGGGAAGGGCGAUUCCAACCCCAGUGGUUAGUGACAGUUGAUAACACAAACGUUGGUGAUAGAAUCUGGUCGGUCCAAGGGCGAGCAGAUUCCAGCAUCAAGGGCGAGCAGAUUCCAGCAUCAACAAUAAAAAUGACAAUUUUGAUCCCGCAAAUGACAACUUGUUUCGUGGCCCCGCGAAAUCCACAAAAGCAAUAAAACUAAAAUAUAAAAUUAAAAAAAAUCAUGACCCACCACUCUGUCACCAUCUUAUGGAGAAAAAGUUUUUAAUUUCUUUCUUUGCACUUUCUGUUAUAAAUGCUUUUUCUUUUUCGCAAAUUUUAAGAUUUUCAUAUACGCGGAAAUGAUGCUGAGGUCUUUAAUAUAUAUAUUUUUUAUUAUUGCGUACUUCUUUGAUUAUAUUUUAAUUAUUCAUGACAUCUUCGAUGCUAAUUAAAAGAGCAAUAUAUAGUUAUUGGGUUUCAGCUAGUCAAUAUUUCUCAAUGUCUGCAUUUGAUGUUAAUUUUUCUCAAGUUCCUGAGCAUCUUUGAUGAUAAUAUAAUUGAAACAAUAAGAGUUGGAAUCAUCUAAGUUUUUUCUUUUUUAAUGAAACUCGACAAAAAAGGGAAGUAUUAUUAAAAAAAAACACACAGAAUUAAUCAAAAGGGAAAUAAUAUAUAAGCCUUACCUCCCUUAAAGGUAAAUUAAGUACAAAAAAAUUCAUAUUAAUUUUUUAUUUUCCUACUUUGUCUGGUAUUUGAAUUUAAGUAUUAGGGUAAAAUCUAAAUUUGUUUUGAUUAGAAGAUAUUUGAAAAAAAAAAAUUGUUGGGACAUCUAAAUAGAUAUAAACCAAUUCCCCAAACUUUGUUAUAUGAAUAUAGGGUUAUUAUCAUUUCACUACUUCAAAAAUUAUCAAAUAUCAAAUAACUACAACAAGUAUUGUCUCGUAUCAUUUUCCUACUAUAUCUUUAUAAAAAUAUCAUUUUACUACUUUUCCGUUAUAUCCCGUUUGUUGACCAGUUAGUUGACUAACAAAAUACCAAUUUCACCUUCAUGAUUAAAAAAAAAUACUUGGAAGCUUAUUUACAAAAUAAUUUUGUAAAAUAUUUAUUAAAAUGGAUAUAAAAUACCAACAUAAUUUUUUUUGUUGGAAUUAUGAUAUAUGGAUUACAAAUUUAUCUUAUUAAUUUUUUUUAAUCAUAAAGGGUAAAAAUCUCCGUUAUCAAUCGAGAUCAUGGGUACCAUAAUCCCAAGAGAUUUCCGAUUCCCCGACCUCAAAUACUCUGGGCGAAGUGACCCACUGGUGCACAUUGAGCGUUUCAACGAUAUGACGGGUGUGCAGGGGCUGACAUCAGCUCAGAGGUGCAGGGCGUUCCCGUUGACACUAGAGGGACGAGCUCGAGAAUGGUACCGCAAGCUGCCCCGAGGAAGUAUAAAGGGGUACGAGCAGAUGUGCCAGGAGUUGGUCGAGCAGUUCCGAGGGGCAGUAGCCCCAGAGGACGACAUGAUGGAACUAAUAGGGAUGAAACAGGAGGAGCACGAGUCCCUACGGGAUUUUGUAAAGCGAUACCACCGAGCCGUACUUGAUUUGGGAGCUUUCAAUCACCCGCAGGCGUUGAGAGGUUUAAAGGAGGGUAUGAGGAUAGGCCGGCUGUGGUAUAACCUGAGAAGCCCCCUGGUGCAGAAUUAUUCAGCAGGAUAUGAGCAGGCAAAGAGAGAUAUCGAAAUCGAAGAAGAAAAAUCGGCAAAGAUAAAGAAUGAACAGCUGGAGGAGCUGAGACGAAAGGAAAGGAGAACUCCAAAUGGGAGCGGGUCGGCAAAGCGAGCUGGGGAACCCUCAGUAAGGGGCGGAACAUCAGCUCGAUCCCGCCCAUACCCCAUAGCUCCGAGAUCACAACAGUUCCAGCACAAUCGGGCUCAACCUCCACAUCCCCCAAUCCUGGAUCGGCAGCGAGAAUUCCAGCAGAUGGCUGCCGACCCCUAUCAUAACACUCCCAGAACAUCAGAUGCAACAAAUUCCAGGGCUAGACGACCAGAUCAGUUAGCGACUAUGCAAGCCCGAGGUGACGUUCAUGAUAGCCGAGCAGUUCAGCUGGUAGACCAGAGCUUGACAUAUAGACAAUACAUUCCACUAAAGAUCUCCAUGGAGGAAUUAUAUGAGAGGAUCGAGGGACGAGGCCUGCUGUACCCUCCAGCCCCAAUAACAAAACCGACUCACCGACGGGAUAAGAGCAGAUUCUGCAAGUUCCACGACACUCACAGUCACACUAUCAGCCAAUGUCGUGAUCUGAAGAUUCAGGUGGAGGAUUUAGUGAGGAACCGGUACUUGGACGAGUCCCUCCGUCCGCAGACCAACCUAAUGGGGUGUAUCCCCACAGGAGUACUGGUCGGGUCCCAGGAGAACACGGGGAUGAAGAGAGAGACCAAACUCGCCCCGGACGGGUACUGGAAACUACUGGCCGAGGUGCCAGUGUUGAUGAAGGAGAGCUCAGACAGCGGUUGCAGAACGCCGAGCAGGAGCGAGACCAGAUAGCUGCGCGUGAUCCUAACCGUGCUAUAGAAUUGGAGGGGGAGGUGCGCAGGUUGGCGCAGGUGAUAGAGGAGAUACAGGGCAAGAGAAAGCCCCCGAGCUGGAGGAUAAUGUUAGAUGAAGAAUCUCCGUUAUCAACCUGUUGAGAAGCUGGAGGAAGUUGUUGUAAGCAGGAGUGACCCUAGCAGAGUUGUUAAGGUCGGAUCAGAAUUGGGCGAAGCAAUAAAGGCCGAGCUGGUGAAGUGUCUACAGUCCCAUGCAGACAUAUUUGCCUGGUCUCAUGAGGAUAUGCCAGGUAUUGACCGCGGGAUAGCUUGUCACAAGCUGGCGGUCAAGAGAGGGGCAAAGCCGGUGAGACAGAAAAGGAGAUGCUUCAACCAGGAAAGGUACGAGGCCAUAAACGCCGAGGUGGAGAAGUUGUUGAAAGCAGGAUUUAUAAGGGAAGCCAAGUACCCAGAAUGGAUCUCAAAUGUAGUCCUGGUAAAAAAGGCCAACGGGAAGUGGAGAAUGUGUGUGGACUUCACGGAUGUCAAUAAGGCAUGCCCAAAGGACAGUUUUCCCCUACCCAAAAUAGAUCAGCUGGUGGACUCAACAGCAGGCCACAGUCUGCUCAGUUUCAUGGAUGCCUUUUCUGGAUACAACCAGAUACCCAUGGACGAGCAGGAUGAGGAAAGCACUGCCUUUAUAACUAACAUGGGUUUAUUUUGCUACAGGGUAAUGCCUUUCGGCCUAAAAAAUGCAGGAGCCACCUAUCAAAGGUUGGUAAACAAAAUCUUCAAACCAUUGAUUGGAUACACUAUGGAGGUAUAUGUGGAUGAUAUGAUCACAAAGUCCAAAGAGCCGACGGAUCAUGUGAAGCAUCUAGAAGAAACCUUUGAAUUACUGAGGAAGUAUGAGAUGAAACUAAACCCGGAGAAAUGUGCAUUUGGGGUCAGCUCGGGCAAAUUUUUGGAAUUCCUGGUAAGCCACCGAGGGAUUGAGGCCAACCCCGAAAAAAUAAGAGCGGUUACAGAUAUGAGAUCUUCGCGGACAAUUAAAGAGGUGCAGAGCCUUACAGGGAAGUUGGUAGCAUUGAACCGAUUCAUCUCGCGGGCCACAGAUAAAUGCCACCCUUUCUUCCAAACCAUAAAGAAAGGGAAAAAGAUGGAGUGGACAUCGGAAUGUGAGGAAGCAUUUGGGCAGCUGAAGGAAUACCUAACCCGGGCCCUAUUGUUAUCGACUCCGAGAGAGGGUGACCAGCUGUUGCUGUACUUAGCAAUCUCUAAAUGGGCUACCAGCUCGGUAUUGGUCAGGGAAGAGGAAGGAAAGCAACAUCCAGUAUAUUACACGAGCAAGGCCUUGGUAGAGGCGGAAACCAGAUACCCAUUGAUGGAGAAGUGGGCGCUAGCUCUAAUAACGGCAGCACGAAAACUCCGACCAUAUUUUCAGGCCCAUCAGGUUAUAGGAUUUCAAAUUUAAAGCUGGAGCGGACAAAUACUUCCUUGAAAGGAUUUGGAGGGGGACGGUUAACUCCCUUGGGGGUCAUUGAACUCCCGAUUACUGUGGGGACAAAGCCGUUUGAACGAACGAUGAUGCUGGACUUCGUCGUGGUAGAGGAAAGAAGCCCUUACCAGAUGAUAUUGGGGAGACCGUUCAUGAGGAUAAGCCAAAAUAAGCCAAUGCGUUGUGUCCACACAUUACUUGGCGCUGAAAUACAGAAUAAAUGGGGUGGUUGGCGUAGUAAAAGGCGACCAGAGGAUGGCAAGGAGUUGUUAUGCUACGGCGGCCAAGGAAACGCUGCAGGUUACCUUUCUGGAUAACCGAGGGGAUUCAAAAAAUGGUCGUCAGGAACCUGUUGAGAAGCUGGAGGAAGUUGUUGUAAGCAGGAGUGACCCUAGCAGAGUUGUUAAGGUCGGAUCAGAAUUGGGCGAAGCAAUAAAAGGUGAGCUGGUGAAGUGUCUACAGUCCCAUGCAGACAUAUUUGCCUGGUCUCAUGAGGAUAUGCCAGGUAUUGACCGCGGGAUAGCUUGUCACAAGCUGGCGGUCAAGAGAGGGGCAAAGCCGGUGAGACAGAAAAGGAGAUGCUUCAACCAGGAAAGGUACGAGGCCAUAAACGCCGAGGUGGAGAAGUUGUUGAAAGCAGGAUUUAUAAGGGAAGCCAAGUACCCAGAAUGGAUCUCAAAUGUAGUCCUGGUAAAAAAGGCCAACGGGAAGUGGAGAAUGUGUGUGGACUUCACGGAUGUCAAUAAGGCAUGCCCAAAGGACAGUUUUCCCCUACCCAAAAUAGAUCAGCUGGUGGACUCAACAGCAGGCCACAGUCUGCUCAGUUUCAUGGAUGCCUUUUCUGGAUACAACCAGAUACCCAUGGACGAGCAGGAUGAGGAAAGCACUGCCUUUAUAACUAACAUGGGUUUGUUUUGCUACAGGGUAAUGCCUUUCGGCCUAAAAAAUGCAGGAGCCACCUAUCAAAGGUUGGUAAACAAAAUCUUCAAACCAUUGAUUGGAUACACUAUGGAGGUAUAUGUGGAUGAUAUGAUCACAAAGUCCAAAGAGCCGACGGAUCAUGUGAAGCAUCUAGAAGAAACCUUUGAAUUACUGAGGAAGUAUGAGAUGAAACUAAACCCGGAGAAAUGUGCAUUUGGGGUCAGCUCGGGCAAAUUUUUGGAAUUCCUGGUAAGCCACCGAGGGAUUGAGGCCAACCCCGAAAAAAUAAGAGCGGUUACAGAUAUGAGAUCUUCGCGGACAAUUAAAGAGGUGCAGAGCCUUACAGGGAAGUUGGUAGCAUUGAACCGAUUCAUCUCGCGGGCCACAGAUAAAUGCCACCCUUUCUUCCAAACCAUAAAGAAAUGGAGAAAGAUGGAAUGGACAUCAGAGUGCGAGGAAGCAUUUGGGCAGCUGAAGGAAUAUCUGGCCCGUGCACCGUUCAACAAGAACGUACGCGUGAGGCAGUUCCGAGCAGGAGAUUGGGUACUUAGGAAGGUGAACCAGAACACCAGGGAUCCUAACCAUGGCGCUCUUGGCCCAAAGUGGGAGGGCCCGUACUGGGUGAUACGAGCCACUGGACCAGGAGCCUAUAAAUUAGCACUUAGUAAAAUGGUCCGUGGAGCUAAGUGAAUUCGACCUCUCCUACAGGCCCCGAGGAGCAAUCAAGGCCCAAGCUUUGGCUGAAUUUAUGGUUGAACGAGCCGAUACAGGGAAAGAAAUUCGGGAGGAGCAAGCAGCAGAGCAGGAGAAACCAGAGGGGUUGUGGUUGGUAAUGGUUGACGGAUCAUGUAGUGAGCAAGGAGUCGGAGCAGGAGUUGUAAUACGGAGCCCAGAAGGAACCGAAAUAACGUAUGCAGUGAAGUUUGACUUUCAGCUCACAAACAACCAAGCUGAAUAUGAGGCCUUUAUCACCGGGCUCGGACUUGCACACGCUCUAAGAGCAGAAAAGGUAGAAAUUCGAGCAGAUUCCCAACUGGUGUGUAAUCAGCUCAAUGAUCAGUUCCAAGCAAGGGGAGAGAAGAUGGGUCUUUAUUUAAAGAAGGCGAAGCAGAUGGUUGGGCUUUUCCAAACAGUGGAGGUAAAGCAGAUAUCCCGGAAUGAGAAUUUUCGAGCAGAUAUGCUGGCUAGGAUGGCAGCCACUGCAGAUCCAAAAUUACCGAAGUCAGUUCCACUAGAGGUAAGGACCUCACCAAGUAUUGAGGAAGAAGCAGAGGUGAUGAGAGUAAGUAUUGGAGAAUCCUGGAUGGACCCGAUUCGCGCAUAUGUCCGCGAUGGAGUUUUACCAGAGGACAAAAGGCAAGCAAGAAAAUUAAAAUGCCGAGCAGCAAGGUAUACGCUACUGGAUGGAGUGCUGUACCGCCGAGGGUUCACCUUGCCCCUUUUGAGAUGUUUGGAUGAUGAGGAGGCGGAUUAUGUGCUGAGAGAGAUUCAUGAGGGAAUAUGCGGCAAUCACUCGGGAGCAAGAACUUUGGCCUUCAAGGCACUCCGGCAAGGAUACUUCUGGCCAACCAUGCACCAGGAUGCCAAAAGGAUGGCAAAAAAUUGUAAAACAUGCCAAAGCUUCUCCGAGGUUCCUGCACAACCCCCGGAAAAGCUGACGGCGAUGACAUCCCCAUGGCCUUUCGCCCAAUGGGGAAUCGAUUUGAUUCAACAAGAACGUACGCGUGAGGCAGUUCCGAGCAGGAGAUUGGGUACUUAGGAAGGUGAACCAGAACACCAGGGAUCCUAACCAUGGCGCUCUUGGCCCAAAGUGGGAGGGCCCGUACUGGGUGAUACGAGCCACUGGACCAGGAGCCUAUAAAUUAGCACACCAAGAUGGACGAGAAGUGAAGAGGUCAUGGAACGCCGAACACCUGAAGAAGUAUUUCCAGUAAGCAAAGUGCUCUACUAAAUCCCCAUUUUGACAAGAUAUCUAUGUUAACUGCAUCAUGGCUUUGCUGCACAUGUAUGUAUUCAGUAUUCUUGUAAUGCAUUCAAAUUUCAAAUAAAGAUGAAUUCAGCAUGAAAUCCCCCUGCUAGUCUAAUCAAUAAAAGUUUUACCUAAGGCAAGUAAGUGCCUGUUUCUGCUCGGUCAAUGAAAGACCAGCAGCUAAAGAUUCGAAAAUUCUACUAAGGCAACAAAAUGUCUGUUUCUGCUCGGUCAACGAAAGACCAGCAGCUAAAGCUUCGAAAAUUCUACUAAGGCAACAAAGUGCCUGUUUCUGCUCGGUCAACGAAAGACCAGCAGCUAAAGCUUCGAAAAUUCUACUAAGGCAACAAAGUGCCUGUUUCUGCUCGGUCAACGAAAGACCAGCAGCUAAAGCUUCGAAAAUUUUACUAAGGCAAACCUGUUUCUGCUCGGUCAACGANNNNNNNNNNNNNNNNNNNNNNNNNNNNNNNNNNNNNNNNNNNNNNNNNNNNNNNNNNNNNNNNNNNNNNNNNNNNNNNNNNNNNNNNNNNNNNNNNNNNNNNNNNNNNNNNNNNNNNNNNNNNNNNNNNNNNNNNNNNNNNNNNNNNNNNNNNCUACUAAGGCAACAAAGUGCUUCGAAAAUUCUACUAAGGCAAAGACCAGCAGCUAAAGCUUCGAAAAUCCUACUAAGGCAACAAAGCGCCUGUUUCUGCUCGGUCAACGAAAGACCGGCAGCUAAAGCUUCGAAAAUUCUACUAAGGCAACAAAGUGCCUAUAUCUGCUCGGCUAACGAAAGACCAGCAGCUAAUCCUAUGAGAAGUUUACUAAGGCAAGUAAAAUGCCUACUCCUGCUCAGUCCACUAAGGAACCAGCAGGCGAAAUCAAAUAAGUUGUCAAAUUAUUUUUUAGAAACAAUCUAUGAGCAAAAACCGGACAAGAAAGCAAAUAAAGAGCAUCUAAAAAUUUAUAAAUGUUCAAUUGUUUACAAAACAAAUGCAAAUCUAGAGUUUAUACAAAAAUAGGCUCAAGGCUUAGCAGAGUCAACGGCUCCGCCAGCUGAAGGAUCAGCAACAUCAAGAGGUAGGAGAUUAGCAAUGCCGGGUGGAGGAGGCAUGGACCCUUGACCCACUUCAAAAGUGCGUCCCCCAGCUUCCCCCUCUUGCACCCCAUCCAAAGGAGCCUCCACCUGAUCCUGCUCACCCUGCUCCUUAUCUCCCUGGCCGGCCCCAGCCAUAUAUCUCUCCACCCCAGCCUCCAGCUUGCUCAUGUCGAGCUCGGGGUAUUCUUCCGUGAGCACAGACAUGAUGCACUUAUAGCUGAAAGCAACCCCGGAGUCAUACUUGGCAUCCAGCCGAUCAUCCACAUCAGCGGAUUUGCCUUUCUCUUCAGCCAGUUGGUCACUCAGGGAUUUGAUCUCUCCCUCAAGGGCGGUCCUCAGAGUAUCUCUCUCACUUUGAGUAGCCUGAAGAUCGGACUUCAGAUCACCCAACUCGCCCUCAAGCUUGGAGGAAGUGGACUCAGCAACCGCAACUUUCUCCUCCAGCUCCGUAAUCUGCUUGUUUAGCUCGGCUAGUUUCUCCUUGGAGCGGUCAGCAGAUUCAGCUUUCUUUUUCAACUCCUGAUUGUCAGCUUGAAGCUUCUUCUCAUGACGCGCGGACCCGGUCUUGUAGCACGAGACCAUUGUGGCCAGCCUGAAGGAGACUCUCUGAACAGAAGCAGCUAACUCAGAGAGGCUCAUGCUCUCGAUGUCCUUCACCAUCUUGGGCCCAACCGAUUUUUUAUAGUCCUUCUGAUAUGGGCUCAGGUAAUCACCUUGAUCCCGAGAUGGGAGAGGAGAAGAUCGGUCCCCAGACUGCAAGCUGACCUCAGGACUCUUGUCGGAGGUUUUCUCCCCACCACUCUUACGAGGUGAAGGAGGGGGCAGAGCAGGAACAGGCGCCUUGAAAGGGACGCUGGGUUUCUUUGGAGGAGGAGGAGGAGGGUUGCUGGAGCUACUCGGAGCCCGACCACGCUUCCUGCUCAUCGCGCUGAGGAUCUUGUUAUCCAUUCCAACGGCAAUAUCUACUAAGCCAGAACCGACCAAGUUUGUUGGCGACAGGAGGUCUUGGCAAGUAGACGCGUUCAAUAGAGCAGUUUCCACCUGAAGCAAAGGUCGGUUUUCAAGGUCCUUCACCAAACCCCACGAUUCUGAAAAAACAAACAAGGUUAAAGAACCCAAUGAGUGGCAAUUUGAGAAAGAAUAUAGGUAAAAAAUGAACGACCUGGGAUGUCCCCACCAAGCGACAGGUAAAGAUCACCACCCAACGAACGGAGUGCUGAACACCACUUUCCCCCAGCAAAGAAGAAUUUGUUCUUCCAAUUUUUACAUGAGGAUGGAAACCCAGUGAUCGGUUUCCUCUUUGCGGAACUGUUCGGGCUACUCCGCAGCUGGUACAGAUGCGGGCUACUCCGCAGCUGGUACAGAUGUUUCACUUCAACAAGAGAAGGCUCCUCCGACCCGCACCUCUCCCACAACACAAACAUUGCCGAGAGAACCCUCCACCCAUUUGGGUGUAGCUGACCUGGGGCCAGGUGCAUACCGCCCAGUAUCCUAGCAAAGUAAGGUUGAAGGGGCAGCCGAGCUCCUAGUCUAAAACUCUCCAAGUGCAUCGUCACAUACCCUUUCGGAGGCCGACUAGGGACAUCACCUUUCCAGGAACUACAAGAAGAACCUCGUUAGGGAUGUCGUAGAGAUUCCUAAGUUUAAAUAGAUCGGUGGGGGUGGUGGCACAAGCCAUGAAAUCAAUAGGGUAGGAAUGAGCCUCCACCCUAUGGCCUAGGUUCCUUUUCUGAGCAGGUCUGCUCGGUCCGGAACUGCUCCCCUCACCAUCACCAACUCCUUCAGGGAUCCCAACCCCGCCAAAGCUGUGGUUCUCACCAGAGCCCGACGCAGGUCCACCUCUAUUUCCUACAAGCUCUAAUUCGGGAGAGGGAGAGACAACCAGGGGGCGUGGGUACUCAAGGGUAUCCCUACCAUGGGGAGGACCUAUACUACUGGAGGGACCUAAAAAAUCGGUGGGUAUUGGCACAUUGAGGCCUGAAUCCCCUGAUUCUUCAUCACCCUCAUCAACAAUUAACUUCCUCUUCCGAUUUGACAUACCGGAAUCCCAAAAGAAAACACAGAAAACUCGAGUAUAUGGACACAAAGGGGCAACACAGAACCCAAUCAACAACAGCCGAAGAAAAGGUUAAAGGCUAUACCUGGAAUAGACUGACACUGAUAGCGCUGCCGUGACAGAGAAAACACCCAGCAAAUGGAUACUCCGGACGCUGGAAGUGUGAGCAAAGUUCAGAGAAAAAUUUGGUUAACGGCGGAGAAGCGAAUACCAAGAUGAUGAUGACUCCAGUCUAGGGAUUUGAAACGAAAAGGCGGAAAUGGAAGCAUUUAAGUGAUGGGAUAGGCCAGCUCACCCCCCAUAUAUCGAGGACGGAUAGCCCGUCGUUUCAAAUUUCAAAUACGAAGAGUCGGGAAACGCCACGUCACCAACCGUUACAAGAGGCCAGGAUAGAUGCAAGUCCAGAUAUGCAAUGGACAUGCUUAUUUAGGCCCAUGCUCAGGUCGGAAUCCCCUCCAGAACAAGAAUGAAACCUCAGAUCCGUCACCGGAGUAACAGAAGACCAGAUGAGAAGCCCCGGGCUGGUAAGAUUCAACCAUCAGUUUCUACUCUUAACUCAUUUUACUCGCAAGACCAGAAACUGGGGGACUGGUGUUAAGUAAAUAAAGGCACCAGGUCGGCCAUGCUACCAUUUCCACCCCGGCAUGAACCACCUCAGCCAAAUGAUACGAGCAGAACACGGAGACGCUGCUGUACCGUACAUCCGCCUUGGCCGUACAGCAGGCAUUAUUAGCACUGGAAAGUUAAAAAUAUAUUUUUUUUCAUUUUCUUAUUUCAUGUUUACUAUUUAAGGUGAACUAUUUUUAUUUUUUUUGGGAACUUAAUAUAAUUAUAUUUAUUAAAACUAUUUAUUUUUCAAUUAAUUCAUUUUAUAUUUACUUGGUAAAUUAUUAUUCAAUAGUACCACAAUGAAUCACUAUGUAUAAAUUAUUAUUAUCGAUGGCAUUAAAAGGAAAUUAUAAAGGUAUCUCAAAUUCUCCAUGAACAAAGACAGAACCUUAUUGGGACUGGCCGGCUAUAGCACAAACUCUCUGUAAAAGGCUUGUUACAAACUCAUCCAACUAAAUUUAUCAAAAUGAAACUAAUCUUUAGAAAACAAUACAUCAAUCCUAAGAGCCCCUAGCCGUUAAUUAUUUUGAAUAAAAGGAAUAAUUCUAGAAAAACUUGUUUAGUUGGAGAAGGGGUGUGUUCGGGAAGCAUACAUAUAUAAGGGUUAUUUAAGUGCAAUAAAAAUAAUGUGCAUUUUUAAUUGUUUAAUUAGGCUUAUUUAGAAGAGGGGUUUUAACAGAAAAAUAAAAGAGUGCAAAUAGAAGCCCCAUGGGAUCCAUAUUUUAU
rnacentral:lncRNA from 1 species